rnacentral:rRNA from 1 species
UACGAAGGGUGCGAGCGUUAAUCGGAAUUACUGGGCGUAAAGAGCACGUAGGCGGUUUGAUAAGCGGAAUGUGAAAUCCCCGGGCUUAACCUGGGUACUGCAUUCCGAACUGUCAGGCUAGAGUAUGAUAGAGGUGAGCGGAAUUUCCUGUGUAGCGGUGAAAUGCGUAGAUAUAGGAAGGAACAUCAGUUGCGAAGGCGGCUCACUGGAUCAAUACUGACGCUGAGGUGCGAAAGCGUGGGUAGCGAACAGG